UCCGUUUUGUUAUUUAGUUUUUAUCUAAGGAAUUCAAUAUGCAUUGGUUCGAAUGUAUGCACCGAUUGUUAUCGAUACAAUGGGAUCUGUAAUGUGACCAGUGUUGGUUACUCGGUGCCGAUGGGAGGUAGAACCGAUAUGACAUUGGUUAGAAAACUGAGGAAGGGAGACACCGUUAUCCAGCGCAAUUUGCAAUGUGUCAAUCAUGGCUAUAUACUACGUGGUAAUGUUAGCGAACACAUUUGCUUUUGGACACUGCCCUCGAAGUGUGAGGCGGUCGUGCCCGAGGAUGUCAUCAAGAACAAACUCGUCGUGCGAGCUGUGUGUCGAUCUUGUGCCUAUUAUUGUGAUUGUGCCUUGUUGAAGGAUGCGGCUGCCUCAAUUGUCCCUGAUAUCCGAACGCUGAUAAUAUGCAUUACUCUCGGAAUGCUUACAAUAUUUUCUGUAUUGGUUUUAUGAACUUGUCGAGAUAUUAAUCGAUGUUAUCUAUAUAUAUCAGCAAGUUCUGCAAUGCAUACUUUUAAUACAAGAAUAGAAAUUAAAUUUUGGAUCACUUUGAAAUUCAAAAACA
rnacentral:sRNA from 1 species